AAAGCCCAAGUAGGAACACAGAGAAACUGCCCUUAACAUCCUCAUCUGUAUGGAGUGCAUUCUCCUUCCUCAGGAAACUAUCAGGCCAAAUCCUCAGAGAGUCUUGAGUCAGUCUGGCUCCUCACAGUACUACAGCCCAAAUAUAAGGUGAAUGACAGCGAGUCCACACAGUUGGUGGGAAGCUUUGCAGUCAGUCAAGAGCUGAAGAAGUCUAGAAGAGUGAGGAAGCAAAAAGGAUGGCAAAGAAGCAACAGGCAAAUUCUUGGAAGCACCACGUGUUCAGCACACUGCUGUUGUGAGGAAGAGAUGAACUCUGAGACCUGGUACUAUAGGUCCACGGUGACCAUCAGCUGAUGUCCCCGCACUGACUCGUUCUGAGAGACACAAGAUGGAUUCCCUGGCUCAUUUUUAUGAACCUGCUUAUCUCUUACAGUUGGUCUCUGUUCUAGUGCUUAUCUGUGGGAGAUGAUAAGCCAUUUACCAGGGGACUUUGAAUCCUACUGUAAUCCUGCCAACUCCUUUGCCUGGUGGUUUCAUUUGAGCUCCAGGUUUCAUCGUUUAUGGCUUUGGUUAUCUGUUACCCACAUCCCCAGAGAAAAUGGACCACUGAUAAGCAGGAAAUGAUUUUAUAUCAGAUUGACAUGAACACAAAUGAUAAAGAA